ACUUUUCGUUUUCAGAGAGAUUGUCCACAGCCUCUGCCAAUUGAAGCGAUGAAGCACCACCUUCGAGUCCUCCGUGACCAUGGCCAGCAAAUCCUUCUCCGGGUUCCACUCCGCCAUCUUCACCUGCCAAUCGAAAAUCGAGCAAACC